rnacentral:lncRNA from 1 species
CGAAGGGGAUGACCGAAGGGGAUGACCGAAGGGGAUGACCGAAGGGGAUGACCGAAGGGGAUGACCGAAGGGGAUGACCGAAGGGGAUGACCGAAGGGGUUCUUCCCCUAAAGGGGAACUUUAGUUCAUCCCCUAAAGGGGAACUAAAGGGGAAGAAGAGCGAAGGGGAUUACCGGAGGGGAUGAGCGACUACCUAACUGCCCGGCCUAAGUCCAGAUUUUGCUAGUAGCCCUACGAUGGCAAAGCCCGAUGACGAUGGGCGAAACUCUACUAGGGCUACGUUGGCUUCCCCUUUAGUUCCCCUUUAGUUCUUCCCCUAAAGGGGAACCCCCUUCUUCCCCUAAAGGGGACUUCAUCCCCGAAGAAGAACCCCUUUAGUUCCCCUUUAGGGGAUGAACUAAAGUUCCCCUUUAGUUCUUCCCCUUCGUAUCCCCGAAGGGGAACACCCCUUCGUCUCCCCUUCGUCUCCCCUUCGUCUCCCCUUCGUCUCCCCGAAGGGGAACACACCCCUUUGGUCCCCAAAGAAGACGAACU